GACGAACGCUGGCGGCGUGCUUAACACAUGCAAGUCGAACGGAAAGGCCUGCUUUCCCUUGUGUGUUGCGGGUACUCGAGUGGCGAACGGGUGAGUAACACGUGAGUUAUCUGUCCCCAACUUGUGUAUAAGCCUGGGAAACUGGGUCUAAUUCCCGCUAGGACUGCAGGGUGGUGCCGGUGGUUGAAAACGAUUUUGUAGUGGUGGGGGAUGAGCUCGCGGCGUAUCGGCUUGUUGGUGGGGUAAUGGCCUACCAAGGCGGCGACGGGUAGCCGGCCUGGGAGGGGGACCGGCCACAUUGGGACGGAGAUGCGGCCCAGACUCCGACGGGAGGCAGCAGGGGGGAAGAGGGCACAAGGGGCGGAAGCCUGAUGCAGCAACGCCGCGUGCGGGAUGACGGCCUUCGGGUGGGAAACCGCUAUCGCCUGUGACGAAGCGUGAGUGACGGUAAUGGGUGAAGAAGCACCGGCUAACUACGUG
rnacentral:rRNA from 1 species